GGAGCCAGAGCCGUAGAAUUCGCACCACAUAGGGGUACCGGGUACGCUCACUUUUACAACAUUAUUGGCGUGGGAGGGGAAUCAAUUGAAUUCAAUAUGCAUGAUUGGGGUGUCAAAUAAAAGUCAUGAUGGUAAUUAACUGUGGACUGUACGUAAAGCCAUAAGGAUGGCAGAGUGAUGGUCUCCCUAUAUUAACGAACUGGGUAGAAGAGAGGAGAUAUAUAGCUUUACUCUAGCUUGCUUUCGCUGUUUCCACUAAUCGUGAAUCAAUCUCCAACUCGUUGAAAGAAUGGCCGAGGCACUCGUCAACCUCCUUGUUGAACAAUUGGGUUCAGUUGUUUACCACCACACAAGUGAAGGGGCGACACUGGUCUUGAAUGCCAAGAAGGACGUUGACAAGUUCAGAAGCACCCUCAAACUUAUCCAGAAUGUGCUUCAAGAUGCUGAGAAGAAGCAAGUGUCGGAUCCCGCGGUGAGAGACUGGUUGGAUGAGCUCAAAGACGUGUCGUACAAGAUGGAUGACGUGCUGGACGCUUGGAACACUGAAAUUGGGAAACGAGAAGCUGAGAAUCAAGAAACACAAGGUUCUGAUGCGGAGGUACGUUUCUCAUUUCGUUCCAAUUGCUUUUGUCUUGCUCGAUUGAAUGUGCUAACUCGUCGUUAUAAGAUUGGUAGAGCAAUGAAAGAUCUGAAUGCAGAGUUAACUCAGAUUUACGACGACAAAAACCAGUUUAGCUUUCAAUCCACCAUGCAUGCUGCUGCAGUUAAUGUUGAACAACCUAAUCCACGAUCUUUCACUUCAUCUUUCGUUGAUAUAUCGACCAUAUUUGGGCGACAAGUUCAAAAAGACAGGCUGGUGACUGAGUUGUUAAGGCGAAGGGAAGGGAGGCCCGGCCUUGUCAUCCCCAUUGUAGGAAUGGGAGGAUUGGGGAAAACAACUUUGGCCCAAUUAGUCUUUAACGAUGCACAAGUUCAAGCCCAUUUUGAUAUCAAAGCAUGGGUUUGUGUCUCAGACCCUUUUGAUGUCAUCAAGAUUGCAAAAGCAAUCUUUAGGCAACUCGGUGGUACUCGAGUUACUUCAGAGGAGUUGCAAAGGCAACUCGGUGGUACUCGAGUUACUUCAGACGAGUUGCAAACUAUAUUAGAUGAUAUUCAAAAUCUUGUCAAGAAAAAAGAGGAUGAAAAGGAAAAGAAGAUCCUUCUUGUCCUAGACGAUGUGUGGACCGAAGACGACAGAGAGUGGGAUAGUUUAAAAUUACAAGUAUUAAUGCAAAGCUGUUCUGAAGGCAGUAGAAUUCUGGUGACCACUCGAAAGCAGGAGGUUGCUCGAAUGAUGAGAGCAACUAGGGACAUGAUCACUUUGGGGAAGUUGAGUGAUUUAGAUUCUUUGGACCUAUUCAAUAGUAUUGCAUUUCUGGAUAGGGAAGAAGAUUCCAACAAGGUGUUUGGAGAUAUUGCUGAGAAAAUUGUUAGAAAAUGUGACGGUUUGCCUCUUGUUCUAAAGACUUUAGGUAGUCUCCUAAUGCCUAAGCAAACAAUUAGAGAAUGGGAAGAAGUUCUCAACAGUGAGCUAUGGAAUGUAGAUAGGGUUAAAGAUGAAAUUUUUGGACCACUAUUACUUAGUUAUUAUGAUUUGGCUCCAGAGAUUAGGAGUUGUCUUCUGUAUUGUGCUACUUAUCCCAAAAAUCAUGAGUUCAACAAAGAAAUUCUUAUCGAGCAGUGGAUGUCACAAGGCUAUCUAAAUGUUGGAGGAAACAAGGAAGAGUCAACACAAGGUAGAGAAGUUUUUACCAAGUUAGUAAUGCGAAGUUUCUUUCAAGAUUUCAUGCAAGAUGCACUUACCAAGGAAAUUAUAGGCUGCAAAAUGCAUGAUACUGUGCAUGAUUUUGUACAAUAUCUUACCCAGAAUGAGUGUCUUACUAUGAAGGCUACGGGUACCCAUGGAACAGAGACAUCGAGUGCAAAUGACAGGGUUCGUCAUUUGACCUUAAUGUCAGCACCCAAGGGUCCAUUUCCAUCUUUGAUAUCAAAAUUAGCAAAUAGCAAAAUUUUGCAUACCCUGACAACUUUUGGUUCAAGAAUUACUGCCAUAGAUUCGAAUUUGAUUUCACAGUGGAAAUGCCUGAGGACCUUGAAUUUGAGUGGCAACAAGAUCCGGCAGUUGCCAGAGGAGAUUGGUGAUUUGACACAUUUGAGAUAUCUUGAUUUGUCUUAUUGUAUUAAUUUGAGUAGUUUACCCGAUGGCGUGUGUAACUUGUACAAUUUGCAAACUUUGAGGCUUUGUCGCUGCACCAGGCUUGAAGAGUUGCCGGACAAUAUGGGGAAGUUGAUUAACUUGAAGCACCUUCAUGUUUAUCAUUGGCUGAAGUACUUACCAAAAGGGAUUAGGCGUAUAAGGAAUUUGCGAACACUAGACGGGGGCACUUCUGUUUAUUGUAGUGAAGAUGCCGAAGCAUUGACAUUGGGAGAUCUGAGGAUGAUGAAUCAGCUUCGCCGUCUUGACAUCGUGAUUUCAAGGGUUGGGGAAAAUGCUGCAAGUGAGGCCGCGAAAGCAGAAUUAAAUCAAAAACUUGAUCUUUCUUAUUUAAAACUUUUUCUGCUUCUUGGCCGCGACAAGGACGUAAAUGCUGGAGUAAUGAAUGCCUUGCGACCACAUGAAAAUUUGGACUCUCUGGUAAUUGGGGGGUAUCAUGGCCCCACCUGGCCCAAUUGGAUGACGACGUCGUAUUUAAAGAGAUUGACAGUCUUUCAUCUUUGUCCCAGCGACUCCUCUGUUUUGCCUCCUCUCGGGAAACUGCCGUCCCUUAAAGUAGUAAAGCUAAUGGACAUGUCUCGCCUGAAAGAGAUCGGAGCUGAAUUUUACGGAGUAGAAGAAGAAACAUCGUCAUCAUCAUCAUCCUUCCCCAGUUUGGAAACUCUCUUUCUUGGCGGCUUGUUUAGUUUAGAAAAGUGGGAAUUAGGUGGAAAGGCAGAAGAGGAGGGUUCUUCUAAUUCCCAAAUGAAAUCAAUUUCAAUAAUGCCACGCCUUUCUUCCUUACAUAUUUUGGAGUGUUCUAGACUGAAACAACUGCCAGACUUCCUCCUGCAAAAUGCACCACUGCAGAAUCUUCUCAUCAAAAAUUGUCAGAGCCUUCCUGCCAGCCUUCCUGACGAGUUCAUCUCUCGCAUCCCAAACGUCGCAAUUACUGGAUAUGGAGUUGAUCCCCUUUUCAAAGGAGGGACGAGUCUAUAUGAAGUCUCAAUCAAUUCGCUUCCACGUUCUGCCAAUGAAGUCCAAAGGCCUUAUGAGGAUUAUAUACGACUUAGUCUGAAAAAUACUUCUUGCCAGAAAAUAUUGCAAAGUCAUGCUCAUGCUCAUGCUCACCCCUCAAAGUUGCAGUGGCUGGUUUCCUCAAAACAUGAUGACUCUCCCAUACUCCUCAUGCUUUGCAAUAUGUCGCAUUUCGUAUACAAUAUAUCUCCUAUACACAUAUACCUUAUGUAUCUGGUGUAUACAAAAUAUCAAACCAAGUUUAUGAGCAGGCCAGGCUGAUGCAGAAAGGAAUUGAAUUGGUGCUGGCAAGCUGAUUAGUGCUAUGAUUUUGAGCUGCAUUUUGGAUCUAUUCGACUGACCAAUGUGGCGCUAUUAGAUUUACCUGGGUGUCCAAACCCGCCUCAAGUUUUCAGUUGCUGGAUAUAUCCCAAGACAUGGUGAACCUCAGGCUAAACUGAAGGAUAACUGACUCAGAAUAGUUGUCCAGUUGGCAGCUGAUUAAUGAGGUUCUACAAAUGGAGCAAAGGAGGAUUGUCAAGCAGUGAUACACCAUUUCGGAAAUUGUCUUGCAUCGUCGCAUCCAUUUGACUAUUGAUGUGCUUUUCACAAUUCUGCCAGAAGUAUAGGACUUGUCUGAAGAAGUGAUGCACUAGCAAAGGAGAACUGUCUAGUAUUCUUUCAUCCAUUUGAUCAGUGGAUGAGGAUUACCUAAACUAGCUUGGAAGAGGGGCAGAGUGGAUGUGACCCAAACCGAGCUGAUUCAAAUUCAACCAAAGGACAAAUGAUGUAGGGGAUGUUCAAUGAGGGUUGCAGCUCAAAAUAGCUUGGACAUGGUGAAAUCCUGAUUGAAGUGGAAUCCUGUUGAAUCUAGUGGAACUAAAUUCAGGAGAAGAUUCACACUGAGAGGAACAGCAUAUCACGGGCUUAGUCAAGCUAAAGUCCCAAAGGCUGCAAGGUUUUAAUUUCUUCUUUCACAAGGAGAGGGGACUUGUUCUAGUAGUACUAGGAUUGUGAAGAACCUAUAGAUUAUUUAGGAAGAGAUGCUUCCCUAAGAAAUUUUACUUUGAGAGGAAUGCUUGUGAGGUUUUUCUUGGGUGUAACUGGGGCUCUCUAUUGAGAGGGGUUGAGAGGAGUGAGAUUACCUAGAGUGGUUUAUGAUUGUAACCUUCUUUAUUAGUUGAUUCAUCAUCAUCA